AUCCUGUAACGCAAUGGAUAGUGUUUUGGACAUUUAAUCCAAAGAUCGUGGGUUCGAAUCCCACCUGGGAUG
rnacentral:tRNA from 1 species